rnacentral:rRNA from 1 species
CAGCACCUCAAGUGGUCAGGAUGAUUAUUGGGCCUAAAGCAUCCGUAGCCGGCUCAGUAAGUUUUCAGUUAAAUCUGUACGCUUAACGUACAGGCUGCCGGGAAUACUGCAGAGCUAGGGAGUGGGAGAGGUAGACGGUACUCGGUAGGAAGGGGUAAAAUCCUUUGAUCUAUUGAUGACCACCUGUGGCGAAGGCGGUCUACCAGAACACGUCCGACGGUGAGGGAUGAAAGCUGGGGGAGCAAACCGGAUUAGAGACCCGCGUAGUCC